rnacentral:RNase_P_RNA from 1 species
AAAGUCCGCCAGACAGUCGCUGCUUGGAAUUAUCCAAGGGGAGGAAAGUCCGGGCUCCACAGGGUAAGGUGCCAGGUAACGCCUGGGGGGUGUAAGCCCACGGCCAGUGCAACAGAGAGUAGACCGCCAAACCCGCAAUUGCGGGCGGUAAGGGUGAAAGGGUGCGGUAAGAGCGCACCGCGCUGAUGGUAACAUCCAGCGGCAUGGUAAACCCCACCUGGAGCAAGACCAAAUAGGGUUCCUAUAGGCGUGACCCGCGCUGGAACCGGGUAGGUCGCUUGAGAUCUGUGGUGACGCAGGUCCUAGAUGAAUGGCUGUCCAUGACAGAACCCGGCUUACGGCGGACUUUCAAA